rnacentral:rRNA from 1 species
GACGUAGGGCGCGAGCGUUGUCCGGAUUUAUUGGGCGUAAAGAGCUCGUAGGCGGCUUGUCGCGUCGACUGUGAAAUCCCGAGGCUCAACUUCGGGCUUGCAGUCGAUACGGGCAGGCUAGAGUUCGGUAGGGGAGACUGGAAUUCCUGGUGUAGCGGUGAAAUGCGCAGAUAUCAGGAGGAACACCGAUGGCGAAGGCAGGUCUCUGGGCCGAUACUGACGCUGAGGAGCGAAGACGUGGGGAGCAAACAGG